CUUUAUCUCAUUCUCCAGACUAUGCCAUACUAUACUAUACUUGUUUUACAUUCCCAUUGUUCCUUAUAUCUCUUAUACAACCCAAUACACUUUGUAACUUGAUAUUUACCCUGUGGCUAUUUGACUCAUGUCGUAUCUCUUCCACAGGGCUAUGAACUUGUAGGUCCGGAGCCCCUGUCCUUUUCAUUGUGAUUCUAGCAUUCCACAUGGUGCCUGGUCUAGAAUAGGCAUUCAUUAAAUACCUGUCAAGUGAAUGAAUGAAUGAUGGCUAUCAUCAUUAUGAUUUGGAGCCAAGAAGUUCUCUAAGACGGUUGGAGAACCCAGUUCAGGUUCAGAUCUCCCCAGAAAGGGAAUGGCCCACAGUCUGCACAACUCCCCUCAAUGGCCUUCAGCUCCAAGGUGCUGACCCCUCCCUGUACCUGCACCCCUUUCCCUACAGGGGAGAGGCUUCUGUAAGGGGUAAGGGGAACAGGGCCACUUCCAGGGGAUCUUUGAUCGGCCAGGCCACCGGAUCUUUGCCACUUGAGGAGUCUGCAGAGAGAGAAAGAUUCCUACACAUGAACACACACAUGCAUGCCUGGAGUUCAAAUGUGUGUGUAAACACUCAUGCACGUGCACUUUCACAAAGACUCACGCUCAAAAUACAAGAUGCACACAUCCACAUCCACACCAGUUGUGUGCAUGGAUCAUAUCAAGUCCACAUACACAAUGUUCCCCAAAGGGUGCACACACAAACACAGGCACAGAACCAUGUGUGCACAUGCGUUCACGCUCAUACACAACCGGAGUGCGUGCAGGGCGCCUGCAGACCCACGCAGACAGGUUCACAUAAACACGGGCACAAGGCCAACUUCUUGGUUCUGGACUCCUCCCUGGAACACUCAGGAUUCUUAGAAGUACCUUCCCUUCUCCUGCCCGCUUCUCACCACAAUCACUAAACACCCCACUUUCCCAACCCUUGGCAAAGUACACAAGAGCUGCCAAAAACGGGGCAGUCGCGAUAGCCUCCGGAAGACCCCGGUGCACCGCACCGUUCCCGCCUUGCUCAGCCCGGUCACCUCCCUAGUUUCUGAGACCCCGCCUCCUCGCUCGCUGCAAUGGGCUCGGGGCGCCCCUUUGUGGCCACAAUCGGCAGCGCCGUUCCGGGCAGCUUGGUCCCCAGUCCUUGCAGAUGCGGAGGAUUCAAACGCAGGGCCACCAGGUGCCCUCCCGCUGCCCCUUGCCCCUUUCUUCUUUCACCUGGUGGGGGUGGGGGUGAGUAGGGAGCACUCACCCAUUAGGGGCCGUCCGCCGCCCUGUUGUCUGCGUGCGUCUUUCACAGCCAGAUCUUGAGUCGCCGGCGCAGAGCUGGGGCUGUCGGCCACUGCUGUCCUUCAGUUUUCACAUCUGGGCCAUCAAGAAAGGCGGCCUGGCCAGAAAGUCUCAGCAAGGACGUCAGGCCGCCAGGGUGACAGGCAGAGCUGGGGGGGGGGUCAGUGGGGCCUCUUUCCUGUCCCAGUCCCCCCAAACACAGCUUGGCAAUAUGUAUUUGUUGAACUUAGGGCUGAAGCACUAGUUUGACGAGAGGAGGUGGGCCAUUUAGCCCCCUAAAGGGCCAUGGACAAAGGGCAGAGCACACGCCCACUCUCGGGCUUCCUGGACAGCCCGGGACAGGUGAUCUGAACAUCAAAAGAUUAUUGCAACUUAAAGAAAACCACGUAACUCAAGUUAGCUCUUUUCUAUAUAUGGGAAAUUCUUUUCAAGAGUCUGAGCUCACUGAAAUCAUUCCUUUGAUACGCACCUCAGCUCUCUGGAGCCAGUAAACUGUGUUUUCACAUCUUGCACUACUUCAAGGCUCAGCAUAGGGAGUGGCUGCAGUCUGAAGGCAGCUAGAUGGCAGGUGUUCCUUCCUUCCUGAGUUCCCCCAGGGAUCACUGGCUCAUCAUCUGUGGUGGCUGCAAUUGCUGGUGACUGUGACAUCCUUGUUUAUNNNNNNNNNNNNNNNNNNNNNNNNNNNNNNNNNNNNNNNNNNNNNNNNNNNNNNNNNNNNNNNNNNNNNNNNNNNNNNNNNNNNNNNNNNNNNNNNNNNGUGACUGUGACAUCCUUCUUUAUUGAUACGGCAGGAAAUAUUCCAUUGCUCCAUGUACUGGUGCCUCAAGAUGGGGCCUGGCCACCAGCCCUUUGGGCAGCAUCCUCACCAGCCAGGAGCCCUUGCCUCAGGCACAG
ensembl:lncRNA